CUGAGACGGAGGCUUGCUCUGUUGCCCAGGCUGGAGUGCAGUGGCAUGAUCUCCGCUCACUACAACCUCUGCCUCCCGGGUUCAAGCAAUUCUCCCUGCCUCAGCCUCCCGAGUAGCUUAGAUUACAGGUAUGCACCAUCAUGAUGCCCACCACCACGCCCAGCUAACUUUUGUAUAUUUUAGCAGAGACGGAGUUUCACCAUGUUGGCCAGGCUGGUCUUGAACUCCUGACCUCAGCUUGGCUAACAUGGUGAAACCCCCCAUCUGUACUAAAAAUACAAAAAAUCAGCCAGGUGUGGUGGCACGAACCUGUAAUCCCAGCUACUCGGGAGGGUGAGGCAGGAGAACUGCUUGAUCCCGAGAGGUGGAGGUUGCAGUAAGCUGAGACUGCGCUACUGCACUCCAGCCUGGACGACGGAGCGAGACUCAGUCUCAAAGGAACAAAAAAAAAAGUAAAAGAGCGGUAACAAUUACUAAAAAAUUGGUUCAAAUAGAUAGCAAAGACAAUGAAAUAAUAACAUAUUUAUAACAUAAUUCUCAAAUAUAUACAAACUCAAGAAAUAGAGCCAUUAUAAAACCUACCAAAUAAAUGCAUUAAUCUGUUAAAAUUUACUAAUAAUUGCCUUGUGUUUCUUUGCUGGAUAACAGGUAUAUCAAAUUGCCUUUGGCACUUUAAUAAAAUGAUUUAAGUGCUCAGAUUAAAUACUGGUACAAUUUUAUAAACCUAGCACAAAGUUUGUAAUAAAGUGCUUUGAAAAAAAAUUUUUAAGUUAAACCUUUAUUACAUUAUCUGUAACUGUUUAAUGUUAGCAACAGAAAUGUAUGAUUUAAUGACCUUAUUAAGGGAAAGGCUGCCAUGGGAAAUCAGCCGUAAGAUACAACACUACAUUAUUAAUAUCUGUAAAACAGUAACAUACCAUCUGAGUCACUGCUGAACCAAGCAAACCAGAUUUAGCUCCUUCUUUACAUUCCUCCCCAAAAUUUCAUAACCAGAAAGGGAUGAUCUGUGGCAGUGCCUUGUGAAAAAGGGCAGUAGCUCAAGGCAGUAGUAUCACAGAAUUAUUUAAUCAUUCAUGGAAAUCUUGCCUCUACUCUCCGUAUGUCCUUGAGAAACUAAACUUGGCUUGGCUUUUAAUUAACACCCAAGAAAAGAAAAAAAGUAAAUCCUUAUUCAUAGAUUUAAAAAGCUACGCAGAGAAAUGUUCAACCUUGUAUCCAAAUGAUAAUUCAAAAAAAGAAACAAAGAAAAAAACUGGGGUUAAAAAAAGCUCAGAAAAAGCAAAAGUUCUUCUAGAUAUCUGGCACUUAGCUAGUAAGUUUUUAUAACGUAUCCAGGAAAUAACACUGAGACCUAAAUAUGAAAAAAAAAAAGAAAGAAAAGAAAAGAGAAAUCAG
rnacentral:lncRNA from 1 species